UCAAAAAAUGGGAUCAUGGACUCACCUCUUUGGAAAGUGGACAUUCCAGCAAAAAAGGUGUCUUUGGAGUAAGCUGGAGCCCACCGUUCCCGAUCUUCAUACAAACUUCGAAGCCACUCAUGAUUUGCAAUUCCAAAGCGUUGAUUCAUCGCUUCCCAAGCCAUUUCAAAUUCUCAAAUUCAUCCACCUUUAAAGUGUCGUAGAUAGUUGUAUUGAACACCAUCUGAAAUGCUUCAUAGUCCUGCAGUGCUCCUAAAUUCUCAAGAACCCUUUGCACAACAUGUG
rnacentral:misc_RNA from 1 species